CUUGGCGGCCAUAGCGCUCUGGACCCACCCCUUCCCAUCCCGAACAGGACCGUGAAACAGAGUUGCGCCGAUGAUAGUGCAUAUCUCAUGUGCGAAAGUAGGUCACCGCCAGGC
rnacentral:rRNA from 1 species